rnacentral:tRNA from 1 species
GCGCCGGUGGUGUAAAGGCGUAGAGCAUUCCCGCUCCCGCCCGGUCAGAGGGAGGUGUGGGUUCGAGUCCCGCCUGGCGCU